AAAAAUCUUCACACAUACUUUUCUUGUUUCUCUGUAUUAGUUUGUUCGAAGUUUGUUGAACACGGUUGUAGCCUUGUUACAAUCUCUCAUUUGUAUCGUUGAGAGAUUGCAGUAUUUUGUGUCGAUUGAUCAUCAGUUGAUGAUCAUUGCUGUAUUGUUGUAUUUGUAUUGUGUGAGAUCUAGGGUUUCUGGGGGGUAAUCACUUUUGGGUUGGUUAAAUAAGAUUUUCGUCACGUUUUUUUCGCUAUUUCUUGUAUUGUUUGUUGUUUCAUCAGUAGUUCAUAGAUCUGUACCAUUUUUUACAUGGUAUCAGAGCUUGAUAGCUUCUGAUUUGUUUGUUUAUUGUUAUCCGCUGCGUUAUUUCUGAUCGCUUUGUAUUUUGUGUUAGGGUUUCUGUUCUUGGAAACUGUGCUUGACGUCUGGUCUUCAGAUCUGGUGUCACGAGUGGCGUUUGUGUUGUUAUUGGACGAAACCCUAAACUUAGGGUUUGGUAUCUUCUGUGUUUCUUCUCGGAUCUGACUUCUGCGUUAGUCUCUGAAACCAGGGCAAACUAACCUGAAGUGUCUUGGUGGUUUUCUGUAUCGGAUUUUGUAGUUCUUGAAAACUACAGAUCUGAUAUUUGUUGAAGAUUUGCACCCGCUGUUUUAAAAAAAGGGUUGGCCAGGUUGGGAAGAACGUGUCAUCCAACAAUAAAUCAAACUUGUCUUCUGGUUCUUCUAUGUCUCCUUUUUCUUCUGAGCAGAUCGCAAAACUCUUAAGUCUUGUGGGUGAGAAAACUGGGUCUGAUCCUCAGAGUUCCAAUAUGGGGGUUAAAUAAGUCCAGGGCUCGAUGUGGAAGUUUCAAGGGUACUAUGUGAAAAAUAUGAGGGUUGCGAUCAUUUUUCUAUAUUCUCUGGGGGGUCUAAGUGAAACAUGCAAUGUGCAGAGAUAUAAAAUGGUAGUUGGCUGAUCAUUAAGUCAUUCUCCCCAAAAAUCUUCACACAUACUUUUCUUGUUUCUCUGUAUUAGUUUGUUCGAAGUUUGUUGAACACGGUUGUAGCCUUGCUACAAUCUCUCAUUUGUAUCGUUGAGAGAUUGCAGUAUUUUGUGUCGAUUGAUCAUCAGUUGAUGAUCAUCGCUGUAUUGUUGUAUUUGUAGGGUUUCUGGGGGGGGGGGGGGUAAUCACUUUUGGGUUGGUUAAAUAAGAUUUUCGUCACGUUUUUUCGCUAAAAAAAAAAAAAAAAAAAAAAAA
rnacentral:lncRNA from 1 species